CAUAGACCUGGAGACAGGUUAUAGCAGUGAGAGCACCAUCAGGGUAGGUGUUGAACAAACAGUGAUAGCAGCCUUCAUCCUGCUCUUUCAGGUUCCUGAUAACUAUGGAGUUGUUCUGCAGUCCAGCAUCUUUAAACUCCACUUUAUCAAUAAAGUCAGGAUUCACUCUUGGACCAAAGUGUUUGCUGGAAGUGGCAAGAGUCUUAUCUCCCUCAGGUUUCCACCAUGUGACUUGAACAACAUCUUUAUUUUGCAUCAGCUGACAGUUUAAAUGAGCCUCUUCUCCCACUGCUGCCAUCACAGUCUGCUGUGUCUGUACCAGAGCUGUUAGACCUGCAGGAGAGGAAGCAACAGAGAUGUUUCUUCAGCUGAGGACAGGAAGACAGCAGGUGAAGAAUACCUGCGACUGGUCAUCCUGCAGUGUGAGGCUGAACGUAGUCCACAAAUCCUCAUCACAUCUUCAGCGAAGGAAAACAGCUGCUUGUCCAGAUCAAUACACUCCAUGAGCUUUGUUUAAGGUCUGGAGAAGAGACUGUUUGUACGACGGCUCUUCAGAGGUUGAAAAUACGUUUCAGACCCUUUAAAAAGACUUUAACAGACCUCCACAGUCCACAGAGGAUGAACUCUUGGACCAAAGUGUUUGUUGUAGGAGGCAAGAGUCUUCUCUCCCUCAGGUUUCCACAAUGUGACUUGAACAACAUCUUUAUUUUGCAUCAGCUGACAGUUUAAAUGAGCCUCUUCUCCCACUGUACACUGUUAGACCUGCAGGAGAAGAGGGUUUCAGAGACAUUUGCAUUUAUUUUUGUCAAAUAUAAUAUAAUAUGAUAUAUAUCUUUAUAUAUAUAUAUAUAGUGUGAAUUUGAAGGAUAAAUCUGUUUUUCCUUCCUCAGUAUCCUGAUGUGAAAGCUAAAAGUUUAGAGGAGCUGUUAAACUUCAACAGCAGACAAACUCAGUGAUGUUAAUAUCUUUAAUGGGAACUGGCUGUCACUGAUCCCACAGUCAUUAUUUGAUUUAAGUGAAUGGUUAAUGCUCAAGGUCCAGAAUUUAAUUGCUAAAAUAUUCCAACAUUACAUGAACUAACAACAUCAGUCAACACUCAUCAUGUCUGAACAACAAUAAAGUAAUGAUGCAUUUGCCUCUGA